rfam:Mortierella elongata AG-77 unplaced genomic scaffold K457scaffold_32, whole genome shotgun sequence.
GGGGUUGUAGCUCAGUUGGUAGAGCGCACGCUUCGCAUGCGUGAGGCCUGGAGUUCGACUCUCCACUGCUCCA